AGUCGAGGGGUAGAAAUAGCUUGCUAUUUUGAGACCGGCGCACGGGUGCGUAACGCGUAUGCAAUCUACCUUGUACUGAGGGAUAGCCCGGAGAAAUCCGGAUUAAUACCUCAUGGUAUAUUUGAGUGGCAUCAUUUAGAUAUUAAAGUUUUAACGGUACAAGAUGAGCAUGCGUCCCAUUAGUUAGUUGGUGUGGUAACGGCACACCAAGACUAUGAUGGGUAGGGGUCCUGAGAGGGAGAUCCCCCACACUGGUACUGAGACACGGACCAGACUCCUACGGGAGGCAGCAGUGAGGAAUAUUGGUCAAUGGAGGCAACUCUGAACCAGCCAUGCCGCGUGCAGGAAGACGGUUCUAUGGAUUGUAAACUGCUUUUGUACAGGAAGAAAUUAUCCCUCGUGAGGGAGCUUGACAGUACUGUAAGAAUAAGGAUCGGCUAACUCCGUGCCAGCAGCCGCGGUAAUACGGAGGAUCCAAGCGUUAUCCGGAAUCAUUGGGUUUAAAGGGUC
rnacentral:rRNA from 1 species